GUGAACGCUGGCGGUAGGCCUAACACAUGCAAGUCGAACGGCAGCACAGUAAGAGCUUGCUCUUACGGGUGGCGAGUGGCGGACGGGUGAGGAAUACAUCGGAAUCUACUUUUUCGUGGGGGAUAACGUAGGGAAACUUACGCUAAUACCGCAUACGACCUACGGGUGAAAGCAGGGGAUCUUCGGACCUUGCGCGAUUGAAUGAGCCGAUGUCGGAUUAGCUAGUUGGCGGGGUAAAGGCCCACCAAGGCGACGAUCCGUAGCUGGUCUGAGAGGAUGAUCAGCCACACUGGAACUGAGACACGGUCCAGACUCCUACGGGAGGCAGCAGUGGGGAAUAUUGGACAAUGGGCGCAAGCCUGAUCCAGCCAUACCACGUGGGUGAAGAAGGCCUUCGGGUUGUAAAGCCCUUUUGUUGGGAAAGAAAAGCAGCAGGUUAAUACCCCGCUGUUCUGACGGUACCCAAAGAAUAAGCACCGGCUAACUUCGUG
rnacentral:rRNA from 1 species